AACGAACGCUGGCGGCAUGCCUAACACAUGCAAGUCGAACGAAGCCUUCGGGCUUAGUGGCGCACGGGUGCGUAACGCGUGGGAAUCUGCCCUUAGGUACGGAAUAACUCAGGGAAACUUGUGCUAAUACCGUAUGAUGUCGAGAGACCAAAGAUUUAUCGCCUAGGGAUGAGCCCGCGUAGGAUUAGCUAGUUGGUGGGUAAAGGCCUACCAAGGCGACGAUCCUUAGCUGGUCUGAGAGGAUGAUCAGCCACACUGGGACUGAGACACGGCCCAGACUCCUACGGGAGGCAGCAGUGGGGAAUAUUGGACAAUGGGCGAAAGCCUGAUCCAGCAAUGCCGCGUGAGUGAAGAAGGCCUCGGUGUAAGACUCUUUACCGGAAGACUAAUUGACUGUACCGGGUAGAA
rnacentral:rRNA from 1 species